GGGCAACAUAUCCCAUUUACCUUGACAUGGAGGAGGUCUGCUGGUGCCAUUGAAGCCUGGAAAAUUUGGCUCAUCAUAGCACACCAGCUCAGCAUGGAUAUUGUUUGAAGAAAGCAGACAGCUUCAGGAUGGAGUCAUGAUCUGUCCCAGGCUGAAGUACAGUGGCACGAUCAUAGCUCACUGCAGCCUCAAAGGCCUGGGCUCAACGGAUCCUUCCUCCUCAGCCUCUUGAAUAGCAGAUUUUAUACACAUCUGCAAAGUCUUUGGCCCUAUCCACCCUUCCUCUUGACUCUGCACUGGCCUUAGGCACACUGCAUGACUUUCCAGGCUGGGCCAAUAAAAGCCAUGCAGCUUCCAUUUGGUUCUCUUUGGUUGCUUGUUCAUCCCUCUGGAGAUGUUUCUUAUGAGAACCCAGAAGCCAUGCUAUAAGAAGCCACAAGGAGAGGCCAUGUAUAGAAACUCCAGUCAACAGUUCCAGAUGAACCUGUCCUUCAACACUCAGAGCCAAGCUGCC
rnacentral:lncRNA from 1 species